CUCUUCACCACCUCCUCUACCUCUCUUCGCGCCCAUGCCGCCUCGCGCUCCCAUUCCCAGCUCCUCAUCUUGCUCGGGCGGAGGAGCGCAGGCCACGCGGUAAGAGGUGGCUUGAUUACAGAGAGGACGGAGAAGAUUAUAAGAUCCAUGGGGAAUCGCUAGAGCCACUUGUUUCUUCAUCUGGAUUCUUGAGUUAUGCGUUUCAGCUGCAUACAGUUUAGUAUCGGGGAAUUUUGCAGAACCUAUGGUUGUGAAUGGUGACCAUAAAGUAUCUAGAUCUACUCUGAAUUUGUAUCACAGGAUGGUGAGGACUGAUGUGAGCAACUACUUCUUUACGCCUUUUUUUUCAUAUCGUUCUGUAUUGUCUGGUUGCUGUUUGAGUCCUGAAAAUGAUUUGGGUCACUUAACUUAUAUAAAUAAUGCCCACGAUAACGUGCAGGAUAUCCACUUAUCAUAUCAUAUAUAGUUAUGCCAUAUAUUUUUAGUGCACACUCAAGUGCCAAUUUGCACGUUAUCAAAUACCAGAUUGAAACAUUCUGUAUAAUUGCAGCACCACUCUUUUGACCACCUUAGGAAGAUUGAUAAUUGGUGUGUUCAUGUUUUCACCGGUGGUGAACUAGAUUAUUUGUAUCU